UUCAAGUCUUCAUCCUAAACUCAACUCAGAUUACUCAUCCAUAUUCCCUCAUAUUUCAUUGUGGUCCUACGGCUUGUUUAUAGCAACAUAAUACAGGUAUCUGUGAUACAGGUCACUCCUGACAAAUGCUUUGAUAGUGUCCAUUGAAAAAAAUGUGCAUAAUAAAAGCUGACGAUUCUGUUUAAUUCGGCAAGCUGUAUGAAGACUUCAAGCCAAGGGCAGCCUCUCAGAUCUCAGGUACCACUCUGAACAGGUAAAAGAGGAGCCAGGAUAUAUGGGAGUUUUGCAACACAAAAACUAAUUGGAAUAUUAAAAAUUGCUAUUCAUUAAAAGAAGUUAAAUAUCUCAAGGAAUUUAAUAGUCUUUCAAUGUAUGGGAAGAUGCAAAAGCCUGGGCACGUUGGAAUCUUUCCUUUGAUAUGCACCUUAGCUAUCUAGGGCAAGUAUCCACCUUCGUAUCAUCCUGAGUUUCCUAGAUACACAGUUGGUGGGGUGUGGGAAAGGUGGCUUCUGUAGCUGAGACUUGAUGGAGGGCAUCCUUCUGCCAUCUUGAAUACCUUCCCGAGUGACUAUUGAGAGUGGAUGUGAUGUGAUCUCUGGAUGGCGGUUUACUAAUCUGGCAUUCACGACAGUCAGUAUACACAUUGGCACACGGCUGGCCCCCUGCUGUUGCAACCAGCGACGCUGCAGAUGGGGAAGCCCCCAUCAGUGUGCGUCCCCAGGAGGAGUCUCCAGUCAGAGUCCCAGACAACUUGGGAUGCUUGGCAUGCCUCCUAGCUUCAUCGAAUUACACAUAGCUGUGAUCCAGAUGGCCUAUGUCAUCAACAUCACCAUUGGAACACCCCCUCAAGAGUUCCGAGUCAUCAUUGACACCAGCUCGUCUGACUUGUGGGUUUCCUCCACCUACUGCUAAAGUCCCUCCUGCUGUAAACACUAGAGAUACAACCCUAAGGCGUCCAGCAGCUUCCAGUCUGGUGAUGGGAAACACAUCAACCUCCGUUAUGGAUGUGGAAGGAUAACGGGAGUUCUUGCCACUGACACUGUUCGGAUCAGGCAACUUAUUGCCGAGUCGCAGACAUUUGUCCUCAGCUUGAAUCACCUCAAUGGAGCCUUGGAACAUGCAUCUUAUGAUGGCAUCAUGGGCUUAGCCUACCCCAGCCUCACCAUCCAUAGGACCACCCCCAUCUUCGACAACCUGAAUAAAAAUGGAAUCAUUUCUGAGCCUGUCUUUGCCUUUUUCAUAAGCAGGUAAGUCUGAGCUGGACAAGUCCUCUCUCCAAAUUAACUGUAAGAUGCUUUCAAUUGCAUGAAAAAUUAAAGACUACCUCAUCCAGAAUAUUCCUGUCAGAUGGUCUAGCCUAGGAGAACUACUGCCCCAGGAUCACAUCUGGCCCC
rnacentral:lncRNA from 1 species